UUUCUUUGCUGGCGACCGGCGCACGGGUGAGUAACACGUAUCCAACCUGCCCUUUACUCGGGGAUAGCCUUUCGAAAGAAAGAUUAAUACCCGAUAGCAUAAUGAUUCCGCAUGGUUUCAUUAUUAAAGGAUUCCGGUAAAGGAUGGGGAUGCGUUCCAUUAGGUUGUUGGUGAGGUAACGGCUCACCAAGCCUUCGAUGGAUAGGGGUUCCGAGAGGAAGGUCCCCCACAUUGGAACUGAGACACGGUCCAA
rnacentral:rRNA from 1 species